rnacentral:misc_RNA from 1 species
AUUUUCUUCUUUGACAAGGGAUUACUUGCCAUGGGAAAUAUCCUCUUCAUCUCAGGAGUGAGUCUAACCAUUGGGCCAAAAUCCACCAUGCAGUUCUUCAUGAAACGUCAAAAUUUUAAGGGAACUAUUUCAUUUGGUUCUGGCUUCUUCUUUGUUGUCGUAGGAUGGCCAGUUAUUGGCAUGAUUUUGGAAGCAUAUGGGUUCGUUGUACUCUUCAGUGGCUUCUGGCCAACACUGGCAGUCUUUCUUCAGAAGAUACCCAUUCUUGGCUGGUUCUUCCAACAACCUUUUAUUAGAUCGUUCAUGGAUCGCUACCGGGGGAAAAGAGUUCCUGUUUAAAUUCAGAAUCAGAGAGAAUUGGAGCUGACCUAUGUAUUGGUCCAUGUUGAAGUCCUCUAAAAAAAUAAUCUUGCCUCAAACCUAAUUUUUUUUUGGUUUAGAGAUGGAUGGCUGUGCAAUGUGCAAUUCUGGGAUUGAAGGGAAGUGCAACUAAGCUGCAGAUAGGUCCAUUUCCAAGUCCUUGUAAAAAUAUUUGUAGAUUUUGUUUGGUUCUGUUUGCAUGAUUGUAGAAGGCUAUUUUGAUUUGAUGACAAACCUUUUCUCUUUUUGAUUAAAGGAGGAGA